GGUGGGUGCUUUUGAGUGCCACCAACACAGGAGCCAGUUGAGAAUCGAAUGGCCUUAGGUUUAACAUAGCCAAACCCAAAGGCCUGGUAAGUAGGAAGGUUGAAAAUCACAACCCCUUUCAAGUAGAUGACCCUGCUCUAUCUGUAGAAAUGGAGAGGGUAGAAACUCCACACGAUGUACCCGGUGUAAGCUAUGGACGCAUAAUAAGUGCAGCUAUAUCAAAGGAAGGUUAACCAUGAAAAUAGAUUUUGUAAGUGGCAGGUGCUCUGGGGCAAUAAACACUGUAGAUGUACAGAAAACAGAUUCCAUCACAUGUCAGGGGAAGAAACUAAUAGUUAAUAGCUUCUGCUACCUAGGUAACCAAGUCUGUAGUUGGGAUGGUUGCUCUGAGCGUGUAGCGACUAGAGUAAGAAUAGCUGGGUAAAGUUCAGAGAGAUGCCGCCUCUGCUGGCAACUAAAGUCCUUCUUUAAGGUGAUAAGUUGUGAACUGAGUAGGUUUUGGCUACUAAUUCUAGCAGAUCUCUCUACUACAUGGAAAUCCCUUUCUUAGUUUGUCUCCCUUGUUGUUAGAGAUUAACUGCGGAAAUAACGAUACACUUUGAAAUUUCAUUUGUUGAUGUUGUUGUUGUAAGUCCCAUCAUCUCCCUAGACACUUCCUCUGCUGUAUAGACAAAAUUAAAAUCAUGUGAAAUUCUUCCAAAAAUGAAAUGUGUAAUUCCAUUUUGUAAAGCUUGCUUAAAAACAUAUUUUGCUUUCAAGUAGAACCAUCUUGUAGACACAAUUGUCAAUAAAUAUAUGGUUUCUAUUUCUCGCAGCCAAUAUUUUUACAUUAGGAGUAUUCCGUAUGAAUUCAAACAAAAUUUAAAAGGAAGAAACUUUUCACUUGACCAACUCAGAUUUGGCUCAGAUGGUUUUUGGUAAUGCAUAAAGAAUACAUGUAUAAUUAGUGUUCAACCACUAAGGGUUUCAAUGAUAUGCCCUACCGAACUUUGAGGGCCACACCCCUCGUGGAGCAAGAAUGUCAAUUUAUACGAUUUUGGUGCUGAACGCUUUUAAAACUAUUCAUAUUUGUCUGAAAUUGGCUACAGCGUGUAAUCUGCAAUCAGAUCGGCCAGAAUCUGCUAUCAGAAUUCCUCUAUUAUCUUCCUCCAUAUUCACGUUAUUGGCCUUUCAAAUAGGAACAUUUUCAUGGGCGGAAUUU